CUAGAAAAUUCAAGAGGAAGAAGAGAAGAGAAACUUGAAGCUAGAGAGAGAGAGCUCGGUUUUGGGGGAGAAAAAGAGCCCAAAACGUCACCAAACAACCCCAAAGUUUUAGCCGCGCUAGGAGAGCUUCCGAGGCAAGUUUUGGAGAGUUUCGGUAAAGACUAACAAGUUGGAAGAAUAAGAAAAGCUAGUAAGGCGCGACACAGGUAUGUAAAGUCCAGAAUUCCUUUUGGCAUGUCUUUAGCAUAAGUAUGUGAGGCUUACCCUUUUCUUUCAAGGCAUGAUCCC